UGCCUGGCGGCCGUAGCGCGGUGGUCCCACCUGACCCCAUGCCGAACUCAGAAGUGAAACGCCGUAGCGCCGAUGGUAGUGUGGGGUCUCCCCAUGUGAGAGUAGGGAACCGCCAGGUUA
rnacentral:rRNA from 1 species